AAACAAGCAGCAGUUAUUACAGCAAUCAUUAAUAGAGGUGACAUGCCAACUAGUAGGCUAGAGCUUUCACUUUUUUCUUUUUUUUUUUUUUUCUAUG
rnacentral:ribozyme from 12 species